AGCAGCCGCGGUAAUUCCAGCUCCAAUAGCGUAUAUUAAAGUUGUUGCAGUUAAAAAGCUCGUAGUUGAAUUUCGGGAUCAGUAGGUCGGUCAUGCCUAUGGUACGUACUGGCUUUACUGGUUCCUCCUUCUUGAUGAUCUGUAAUGUCAUUAAUUUGGUGUUGCAGGGAGUCAGGACUGUUACUUUGAAAAAAUUAGAGUGUUUAAAGCAGGCAUACGCUUGAAUACAUUAGCAUGGAAUAAUGAAAUAGGACGAUCGAUCCUAUUUUGUUGGUUUCUAGGAUUGACGUAAUGAUUAAUAGGGAUAGUUGGGGGCAUUAGUAUUCAAUUGUCAGAGGUGAAAUUCUUGGAUUUAUUGAAGACUAACUACUGCGAAAGCAUUUGCCAAGGAUGUUUUCAUUAAUCAAGAACGAAAGUUAGGGGAUCGAAGACGAUCAGAUACCGUCGUAGUCUUAACCAUAAACUAUGCCGACUAGGGAUCGGAUGAUGUUAUUUUUAAUGUA
rnacentral:rRNA from 1 species